rnacentral:rRNA from 1 species
UACGAGUGGUGCAAGCGUUAUUCGGAAUCAUUGGGCGUAAAGGGUGUGUAGGCGGUAUAUCAAGUCUGUUGUUAAAUCUCCCAGCCUAACUGGGAAAAUGCAGUGGAAACUGAUGUGCUAGAGGAUGGAAGAGAGAAGUGGGAUUCUCGGAGUAGCGGUAAAAUGCGUAGAUCUCGAGAGGAACACCGAUGGCGAAGGCAGCUUCUUGGUCCAUUCCUGACGCUGAUACACGAAAGCGUGGGGAGCAAACAGG